rnacentral:rRNA from 1 species
CGCGUAGGCGGUCUUGUCGGUCAGAUGUGAAAGCCCGGGGCUCAACCCUGGAAGUGCAUUUGAAACAGCAAGACUUGAGUACGGGAGAGGAAAGCGGAAUUCCUGGUGUAGAGGUGAAAUUCGUAGAUAUCAGGAGGAACACCGAUGGCGAAGGCAGCUUUCUGGACCGAUACUGACGCUGAGGCGCGAAGGCGUGGGUAGCGAACAGGAUUAGAUACCCUGGUAGUCC